GAACAGAGAGUAGAAGAUGUCCGGCUCAUCCGAGAGCAGCAUCCUACCAAAAUCCCGGUAAUAAUAGAACGAUACAAAGGUGAGAAGCAGCUUCCAGUCCUGGAUAAAACGAAAUUCCUGGUGCCUGAUCAUGUCAACAUGAGUGAGCUCAUCAAGAUAAUUAGAAGGCGCUUGCAGCUCAAUGCUAACCAAGCCUUCUUCCUGUUAGUGAACGGACAUAGCAUGGUGAGUGUGUCCACACCGAUUUGUGAGGUGUACGAAAGCGAGAAGGAUGAAGAUGGAUUCCUGUACAUGGUAUAUGCUUCUCAGGAGACUUUCGGAAUGAAGUUGUCUGUGUAAGACUAGAAAAAUGUAUCUGUGCUAGAAUUUUUUAAACCCUUACCAAGGAAUAAAAAAGGGAUGUUACCAACUGAGAUUUAUCAGCUCAUCUAAUCACAGAUCAUCCAAACAGUAGUUUUCCUGCCUAGGAGUCUUAGGAAGUUGUUUUUGUACUUCACGCAGAAAAACGGAGCUCCGGACGAGCACAUUCAGCUUUGGAAAACUUUAUUACUUAACCUAGGCUGUUUUGUUUUCACAUACAGAAGUUUAAAAAAUAAAAUACUUUGCAUUCUAAGUUGCCAGUAAAAUAGAUUUUCAAGUUAUUUUUAAUGCUCUUUUCCCAAAAGGAACUUAGAAUUUGAGCAUUCAGAGGGACAGUUAAGUCUUGUCUCUAGGUUCAUAGAACCUGCCAACUUUUUAUGGAAGGGUUUCUACUCAAGUAGAGAAAUCUUAAGAGGAUCUUUCAGCGUUAAGUUGUCAGGCAUGGCCACGUCCAUCCCAGUGUAUCUGCCAUAAUAGUUGGAAAAAGGGUGAAUUGGGGGUACACAGGAAACUAUAAGCCUGAGCUGCUGUGCAGGGUUCCUGAUCUGCUAAUAAGUGUAUUCCAGGUCAGCACUCAUGAGGAAGUUCUCAUUUGGUUACUUCUCUAGACAUGCAAAANNNNNNNNNNNNNNNCAGCAGGAACCUUGGAUAGUUGAUGAUUUUGGUCAAGUUUCUCCAAAGGCCUAGAGAAAGAAUGGCGUUUCUUCCGUUUUGGACAUUCUCUGCAGAGUCAAGAUACUGCCUGCUUUGGUCAACGCCAGGCAGUCACAUCAGUUUCAUUCUUUAGGACAGGGUGGGAAACCAGAGGAUUCAGAUGUCACUUCCUCUACCUUCUGGCUGAAACUGUAGAUGAUCCAUGUUUUAUGUUAAGUGUGUGACUAAAAUAUGUAAUUAGACACUUUUAAUUUAAGAGUAUCUCAGUUACCACUGUUAGGUCAAGCAACCCUCAGUUUCCCCAUUCUAUGUGCAUGUCACUUUGGAAAAUAGCAAAAGGAAAAAAUGUUCUUUUACAGCUAUUAAUGGCAAAAGUUAAACAUGUUUAAAAGUCCAGCUAGAAUAAAUAACCAGUGCUUCCUGUUACCUGCAUGGGGUUCCCCAUGGACUAUUUUUUGUGGGCGUUACCACAGAAAGGGCCCAGACCCACAUGCUUGACGUACAUUGUAGCAGGCCGCGUUUCCUCUCGCGCAUCUAGAUGUGUGGAACACUCGUAUCUGUCAGCGGCAGGUAUUGACUCUUCAACGCGGUGUUGUGCUGCACCCGGGCCCUCGACCCCCCAUCUUCCCGCUGCAUGCAUCUGUCCACGUGGCUGACUUUUCACGUGUAUAUUUCUACAUUGUGCAAAUUCUUAGUCACCCUGUCUCGCUUAGAUUGUACGCAUCAUUACAUCUGACGUUCUUGUAACCACGGCGUGCUCCGUAAGAUUCCUAUGAGAAGUUCUGCUUUUUAAAGACAAAGAUACCAUGCCGAGAGGGGAGACUUAGACCCCACGUUAGUGGGUGGUCACUCCCUUUAUAGGAUCUUUAAAACAAGUACAUUUUUAAUGACUAAGGUAAAAUAAAGGCACAACUAAAAACUGUCAUUUGAAGUUCAGUGGAAUGGAUGAGUGUGUGUUUGGGACCUGCAGUCUAUACUAUCCAAAGCCAAGCAGGCCGAGCGUGAGGGCGGGUUUCUCCGUGCCGAGAGCCGUCGGGUGGCAGAAAACCCACCUCCAAAGUUCUGGCUCGCCAGGGGCCCCUUGCUCGCGUUGGUCGCGGCUCUCAGGUCAUAAAAUUUAGUUCUCUUUGAGAACGUACAGAUGUGCUAGCAAGUGUGGGGAGGACGGGUGUGGGAGGGCCCUAGGUAUUUUGUGCGAAUAAACACUUGGGUACCUGCUCUAAAUGACCACAGAGCUACGACCCAGAAAGCACGGUGCGUGGGGGUGGUCGGAAGCCCGGCGCGUAGCGGUACCUGAGCUGGGGACGGCGGGGCGCGCACAGGACAGACACCGGCCCGCCAGCGGCUGGCGGAGCUCCCCGGGCAAACUCCACUCUGUACCGCAGACGGUGGGAAGGACACGCUGAGGGCUCGGCAGGUUGCGUGCUGCCCCCCAUCUUCAGAAGGACUCCUGUGGGGGAAAAGCACCAGAAUUCUCCCGCUGGGGCCUGGCGCUGCUCAGGAGAGCACCACAGUCCUGGGCCAGAGCGUGCUUGUUAGCGCUGCUACCCCCUCAAGUCCAGAGAGCAAAGACCUGGUAAAAGGGAACAACUUUUUUUUUUUUAAUUUUUAUUUUCAGUACAUUAAAUUUACUCAUAAAAACAUUCUAAAAAUGUACAAUUUUUUCUUUUAACAAAGUAUAUAAUAAAACAUAAAAACCCCAAAAACAGAAUACUUGACAUUUACAAUUCAAAAUCAAAUUAGCAGAAUAUUAAAUAUUUACAAAACUAUAUCUUUUAAAAAUAUUUAUAAAGUUACAUGCAAUUUUGUAGAACUGACAUAAAAGAAUGGCUCAAAAUGGGAGAAUUUUCCUUCAUUCCUAAAAAGAAAAUAUGUCCAAUAGAAGCUGUGAAGAUUCUUAAGCACACAGAGGUCUUUCAGUACCAGAGCCUUGUCUCUGUGCAUCUACGAACGUGUACCCACGUGGGGGGCUUGUCACAGCACGGGGACGGACUGACCGGGCUCCCUCCGGCAGCCGGGCCUCAACCAGCACAGGUGGUGGUUGGUGAGUGUUGAUCAAAGGGCCUCCCUUCGACUCAGAACCUUGGGACGUCUCGGCAGGGGAGCCUUUUCAGAACCCAUGGCUUUCAGUGUCACCUGCCUCAUUCUUUGGGCGUCCCCUGCACUUUGGAAAGGCAAGGACGGCCAACCCACUCAGGCUCGACAGUCCCGUCCACUGUGACAGGCGGGCAAGCCGAGCAGGGUCAGAGUCUCCCUCAUGACCUUUCAGACUCAACGCGUCACGCCCUCGGUCACGCCCUUGCCUACGUGACACCAGCAGGGCGUUCAACAAGCCACCACGGAAGCAGGCAGAGGGACCAGAUGACAGCGCGCGAGGCGGGUCCCGCAACCCAAGUCGUGCGCAGCAAGUGCUCCUUUGCAGCCCUGGAGGGAGGACAGAGGCGAGAGCCCCGGUCAGCCUGCGUGCCCACGGGGACGCCUCACGGCCGUGGACCCGUGGACCGUCAGGCCAAGUGGCGAGGCCACCACGCGCCUCCGGACGUGCGGUUUAAACUAUGUGGGCUUCUCGCCAUAAAGGACCUAGAAUUCUAAACGGUGAAUUACAAUACUGAGCCUCCUAGCUACUACGUUAACAAGCUGACUCCUGCACGUUUUUGGACAUUAGAAAUGAUGCUGGUUUUUUAAAAUACCCAAUCACAUAUCUGCUUUCAAGAAAAUAGUUUUAUUUGAAGUGCUACUCCCAUUUUCUCAGUGCUCUUUAGCAAUUAGAAGUUUUUUAAAACAGUUGUACACUUUCCAAUUUUCGAUAUUACCAUGAAAUAAAAAUUAGAAAAUAAGGUAGAAAAUUGAGUGUUUUUGCGUAAAAAAACAAAGAAGAUUAGUGUUUUAUCCCAACACUGUAUUCUACUAAGUCUGUACAUUCCACGUUCCCCAUUCUUGGAGAUUACAAAUGGGGUUAGAAACUUUAAAAUAGGACAGACUCCACAGAGCAAAGUGGCUGGUGCCACACCUACCUGGUUGCCACAGCAUUUGGAAACAGCCCACGAUUUCGGGAAAACGGCGAUUAAGCAGUUGAAAGGGUCAGGGUGGUCUAUGCUUGGUAGCUGAUGGUGCCCUCUGAGAGAUGCCAGACGGUCUUCAGGCUGGCUGACGGCGGUUGCUUUUGGAGAGAAAUCUCAUCAGAAUACUGCUAGCGCAUAUUCCCAAGUCCACGUAUGAGAUUCGCCUGGGAAGAGGUCUCAUGGCUCGGCAGCUGAGUGCUUUGUGUCCUGUGUGUCGCGUCUCGUGCUCACGUGUGACGGCCUCCCUGGGAGACGCCACUCCACAGGCGCGCGCUGAGCUGAGAGCCAGCUGGGAGUUUCUAAGACCUGCAGGAACUGGAACACAGCCACACACUGUCUGAACUUCCCUCAAUCUGAAUGUCGUACUUCAAACUGAAGAUGAACUUUGUGUUGUAUUUAAUGCUAGCCUCUAAUAUUUAUCAAAAUAGUUACAAGGGUAACAAGCGACACGUUCAUUCCCCAGUGCUGCCCACUAAAACAACAACAAAAAACCCCUAAAUAUGCUUUUUUUCUUUUGUUAUGAGACAGUUUUCAACAAUUCCACUGUGGUGAAAUAGGAUUUAUUUAAAAUAGUUCUUUGUUUAAAAAACCAAGAAAUUUAAAAGUUUGGCUUUCAGCACAUACCCAGGCCACUCUAGUGGCCUUCAGAAAUAUUAAAAUCGUAAACAUCAAAGAACACUCUAAGUCUUUCUUAAACGUAACAUGACAAGUCCCAGUCUAGUACUCUUUAAGGCAAAGUUGUGUCAGUUCGCGUUAUUUUGACAUUUCGUAGUGUUUAUGAUUUAGGAGAUCAGUGUGACAUUCCCCCCAAAAGCUGCUGCAGGCGUCGUCACUGCUUCACAACUGUGUGUCACGCUGUGUACCAGGAGAGAGAGAACACAGAGGUCUGUCGAUCCUGCAUUGCAUAGAAACGAAACUCUACUAAAAUAAAGCUCUAGAAACUCUACUAAAAGCCUUGCAUAAAAAAAAGGAACAACCUUCUGCUGUAGUUUCCACGAAGCCUGGAAACUGAUUCCAGAAUUUGCAACCUCACAUCACACUACCUCAAAUUCUAGGGUAUUCUUUUGAUUUACACCAAUUUUACAUGAGGCUGAUUGUCCGGUUUUAAGAAUGGUCUGAAUAUUGUGAUCUUUUUUUUAAAAUAAGUAUAUUCAACUGGAAAAUCCCUGGGCAAGGCCUUACCAAUCAGUAUUUUAAUAUUGAAGGCUUUAGUAUUUAAAACGAUGUCUGAGCAGAAAAUCCCCUCUAGCCUUGAAGCUUAAGUCCCUAACUUUCAGACCAAAAGCUCUCGCUGCACUGGGUGAAACUGAGAGCUGUGUGGUGGACUUUAUUUCCCACCUUGAUAAAACUAGACUUGUGCAGAUCUUACAGCUCUGCCCUGUCGGUAGAGUCAGUCUCUUUCAGAGUCUUACCACUUUCUACGGUAGUUUUCCAGGUAACGUUUAACAGAACUGUUGAUAACAGCCUAUGACAAGAGAAGCCGACAGGCGGGAGAAAAUUUCAAAUCUUUUGCUCAUAAAUCACAGGACUGUAUUAUUACUGUUGUUGGAGUGGCUGUCUCAAGUGUGAAUCCGCGAGCAGGAGGCCUUGGGGUCCGCGGGGAGUCCGUGGGAGGUAAAGCACUUGCAAGCUCGGCCAGGCACGUGCAGCACCCUCAGAGCCGCGCGCCGGCCACGCUGCCCGCACGCCUCUGCCAGCGUUCCUCGGUGGUGGAAGACGACAGAACUCAAAGCUCUGAAGGGCGGGGAAGGAAGCUGUCCUCAAAGCUUUGACGACGAGGGACUCUCUGGGACUUGGACCCUUAGAAAUGAAGUUGUUGCGAGGAACUAUUUCUAUUUAGUAACAUCGUUUAAAUUUAUUU
ensembl:lncRNA